AAUAAAUGUAUUAAUAUAUAGAAGAAAUUAAAUGAUAAAUCAUUAAAUUUAAAAGAUUUGGCAGUAUUUAAUAUUUAGAGGAACCUGUAUAGUAAUUGAUGAUCCACGAUAAGAUAUACUUAAUUUUAAAUUUAUGUAUUGCUGUUUUUAAUAUUUAAUUAAGUUAGAUAGUAAUAUAAUUUAUAAUAUUUUAUUAGAUAAAAUAAUUCAAGUCAAAAUAUAGUUUAAUUAAGAUUUAAUAUGGGUUACAAUUAAUUUAAUUAUAUUGGAUUAAAAAAUUUAAUUUUUUUAUGAAAUUGGAUUUAAAAGUAAAUUUAAUUAAUUUAUUAAAUUGAAUAAUAAAUUAAAUAUGU
rnacentral:rRNA from 2 species